GCCUUCGUGGUGUAGUGGUUAGCACGCUCGACGCGUAACCAGGAGGACCGUGGUUCGAUUCCCGGCGAAGGCA
rfam:Stegodyphus mimosarum contig2199, whole genome shotgun sequence.